rnacentral:rRNA from 1 species
UAUAGUUGCUAUAUCACCCUGCACUCACAACUGGCAGCCCACUAAAGCUCAGCAGGUGUGAGCCUGGCCAGUACCUGGAUGGGAGACCUCCUGGGAAAGCUAAGGUUGCUGCUGGAA